GGGAGCAUUAAGAUAUAGACGACCACGACGUAAUGCAUUAAUGGAAGUACAAAUGCCAGUGAUUAAGAACGCCGAAUGCAAAAUAGCUUAUUCCAAAUUUCCUAAUGCACCUGAUAUCACUGAUGGUAUAAUAUGCGCCGAACAUGCUCAGGGUGGAGAGGAUUCUUGUACGGCUGACCGCGGCGGACCACUGCUGAUACAACAUGAAUUAACCUCGUAUUUAAUAGGUAUUGUGUCUUAUGCUUAUAAGUGCGGCACAGCUGGGUAUCCCAGCGUUUACACUAGGGUCACAUCGUACCUUGACUUCAUUCUCCAAGCGAUGCAAUAAUAUGAUAUUACUGUUCCAUAAAUAUCAUUGUGUAAAAAACGUAAAGUUGGAUUUUCUUAUUGUGGAGAUAAGAAACAGCUCAAAUUUACAUUGUUUUGUACGUUACAAAUUAUAGGCUUAAAAUGUACGAAAUGUAACUUUGAAACGACACUAAUUUUUUACGCACGAUAAACCUCCACGACUUAGGAAAACAGUGCAGGAUGCUGUGAUUCGUUUCUUGUGGUCGGAGGUUAUGUUUGAUGCCUAUAUUUAUCAAAGAUUUAAUGCACAUUAUGGAGAAAGUGUUUUGUCACGAAGUGUGUUUGAAUGGGCACAAAAGUUCAAAGAAGAUCGCACGAGUGUUAUGAAAAAACAGCUGGACGCCCGUCCACAUCCACGAUGACAACAUUGAACGUGCUCAUGAACUUAUGCUCUAUGGAAUAGACGAGUGACACUGGAUAAUGUGGCAAAUCAUUUGCAAAUCAGCCACGGCUCUGCUUAUGCAAUAGUGCACGACAGAUUUGGAUUUUAAAAAGUUUGUGCGAGAUGGAUGCCGAAAAAGCUGAUGAAAAGGUGAAGACGACGAUGCAUUCGUGGUUCGCAGCUCAGCCCAAAACAUUUUUUAAUGAGAAAAUACAAAGGUCCUUCGGCAAAUGGACAAAGUGUAUACAGAAAUCGAGUGAUUAUGUCAAAAAAUGAUGUAUGUCUUUUUUGACAAUUGCUUAAAAUAAAUUCUACACCGACAGAGCGGGCUGUUAAUCUAGAGGCUGGAGUACAAAGAAGUGGCACAAUGAUGUGGGCUGAUGACAUUUAUAAUUAUCAAGGAAUCACCCCUACAUUCGCUCAGAAUUUUAAUGAAACUGUCCCUUGGGAAGGAAGAACUGAUACCUUGAUAUCACGGUUUGUACAUCCUAUAUAUACGACAAAUUUUAGAACAUUAUAUAACGAAGAACCAGAUCGUCGUGGCCAUGUGAUGUGAAUAAAAGGACUUGAAUUUGAUGAUAUUUUUAUAAUGUUAGAUAACAUAACUAAGUAUCUUCACAGUAAGAUAGGAUGACAUGGUUUACAUGAUCUUAAUGUUGUUCACUCGAGUGAUGAUAUUAUAAGGAAAAGCGUAAUAUCACAGGAUAUUUAUGUUUAGUAACCAGUAAUUCAGAGAUUGGUAUUCAUGGUUACUAUAACGAGGCUGUAGAAACGCACCCUUUCUUCUUUGCAAAUGGUCCUGUAUUUAUGUCUAAGCCGAAACUGGAACCUCUGAAUAAUUUAGAUUUAUUCUUGUUAUUUUCUAAAAUACUUAUCUACAGUAUACCAUAAGGAAUGAUACCGUAUCGCACCUAAUCGAGUGCCUUAAGAAACAUCAACAGGAUA